UAUGGUUUUGUGCCAGCCGCGCGGUAAUACGUAGGGAGCAAGCGUUGUCCGGAUUUACUGGGUGUAAAGGGUGCGUAGGCGGCUUUGCAAGUCAGAUGUGAAAUCUAUGGGCUCAACCCAUAAACUGCAUUUGAAACUGUAGAGCUUGAGUGAAGUAGAGGCAGGCGGAAUUCCCCGUGUAGCGGUGAAAUGCGUAGAGAUGGGGAGGAACACCAGUGGCGAAGGCGGCCUGCUGGGCUUUAACUGACGCUGAGGCACGAAAGCGUGGGUAGCAAACAGG
rnacentral:rRNA from 1 species